rnacentral:rRNA from 1 species
CAGUAGCCGCGGGAAUACAGAGGGUGCAAGCGUUAAUCGGAAUUACUGGGCGUAAAGCGCGCGUAGGUGGUUUGUUAAGUUGGAUGUGAAAUCCCCGGGCUCAACCUGGGAACUGCAUCCAAAACUGGCAAGCUAGAGUAUGGUAGAGGGUGGUGGAAUUUCCUGUGUAGCGGUGAAAUGCGUAGAUAUAGGAAGGAACACCAGUGGCGAAGGCGACCAUCUGGGACAACACUGACGCUGAGGCACGAAAGCGUGGGGAGCAAACAGGAUUAGAUACCCCAGUAGUCCCUGUCUCUUAUAA